CUACGGGUGGCUGCAGUCGAGAAUCUUCCGCAAUGCACGAAAGUGUGACGGAGCGACGCCGCGUGGUUGAUGAAGUCCCUAGGGACGUAAAAACCUUUUCUCAAGGAGGAAGUUUAUUGACGUUACUUGAGGAAUAAGAGGUUGCUAAACUCGUGCCAGCAGCAGCGGUAAUACGAGUGCCUCAAGCGUUAUCCGGAAUUAUUGGGCGUAAAGGGUGUGUAGGUGGAUUUGUUAGUCUUUUGUUAAAGAUCUGGGCACAACUCAGGAAAGGCAAGAGAAACGGCAAAUCUAGAGGGUGUGAGAGGUCUGUGGAACUCAUAGUGUAGGGGUGAAAUCCGUUGAUAUUAUGGGGAACACCAAAAGCGAAGGCAACAGACUGGCACAUUUCUGACACUGAGGCACGAAAGCGUGGGUAGCGAAGGGGAUUAGAUACCCGCGUAGUC
rnacentral:rRNA from 1 species